GCAAUGUAUAGCAUAGAGUACAAUGGAGGCAGUGCUAUCUCCACCUCUUCUUCAGGCACAGCACUUGCAGGCAGAGGACAUAAAGAAGAGGGAAUGCCAGCAACCAUGCUGUCAACUUUGCAAGUCAUUAACAAUCUGGAAAGAGACUGAGACAUACUGUCAACUUAAGCAGAAUAUCUCAGAGUGGCUCAGAGAUGGUCAAAAAUGAAAAAAUUUUGGGUGCAACUCCCCAAUCCUCCCUUCUGAGAAGCAGUGAGUCCUGGCAGCACAAAGAACUGAAUUAUGAACUGAGAUUAAAGGCACAAGACUGGAAGCAGGCAAGUAAUGUGACUGCAGGGUUUGAAGGCACGUGCUGAAACACAGAAAUGGACAGAGAAAUAUUCUAAGGUAAACCCCUUCUGAUCCUGAAGUGAAGGUACAGCACUAAUUGAGUGUAACUGUCAUGAACUAGGAAAACAUGGAAAUCUGUCCCUUUGUUUUGCUCCUUCCUUGAUGCUGGUGUCAUCACUCUGGCAGCCUGGUUAAAGUUUCUCAGGAGGAAACAAAAUGAGAACAAAGACAAAUUUCUAAACUGAUUGUGCACCUGGAGCUGUACACUUUGCAAAUGAGCUUUUCCACGUGAGAGACAUGGCAAAAUACACAAUUAAGAUUUUUUUCUUACCCAUCUUCCCACCAUUAUUUGUCUAUUGAUGAUAUCAUGGGUAGAAAUGCUGGGGCUGGCCAAGUAUUCAGUAUUGGAUGGAUUGCUGCUUUCCUCCUACGUCACUUUUUGGUAGCAGUUUGAAGUCCACAAUCACACUGUGCCAUAACAACAAAUGCUUCAAGGACGACAUUUCCAAAAACACCUUUCUUCCAAGAAUCUCUGAGUGCUUUUCAACAUGAAUUACCAGCCCAUCUCUUGGUGAUAAGUAGGUGUUAUUUCAGUCUUCAAACUGAGAAACUGCUGCCUAAAGUAACUGUGAAUCAUCUAUUUCCUGGAGUUUUCUUUUUCCUGUUUUCCAUACCCUUUCCCUUUUGUCUCCUGGGCCAUUCUUAACCGCAAUUUCCUCUCCCGUCUGUCUAUAAUAAUCCCCUCGAUGCAACCUGAUGUUGUACCUAAACUUUAAAACUCUCCCCCCCCUGCCCCCUGCAUGCAACUUGGGCGUGUGUGUGCUGUGCAUAAGUGCUCUCCUCAUUCAGGUAGAAGCAUCAAUUGAGCUGUAUUUAUG
rnacentral:lncRNA from 1 species